CAGGGCCAAAGAGAGCCACCUGAAUUCUUGUAAGGGGAACCAAAAUAGUCCAGUUCAAAAGCAGGUCUGAUUUCCUGAAGCGAGCACAAGCCCUUCCUUCUGAGAUCCAGUGUCAAGAGUGAGCGGGAUGAGGAUGGGACUCCAAGCACAGCUAGCCAAGCCCACUCAAACCUAAUGCAAAUCUGAUACACGGUCCAGACAUUCCUAAGUGAUAAAUUUCUACACUCGAAUUGCUUCCCAACGUCCAUAUAGCAUGAAGUGAUUUGGUUUUCCUGAUCCUGCAGUCCCUGCGUGGCCUCAGCUCCAUCUCACUGUCCCCCUCCCGAGCAGGAAGCCUGCCAGAUGGCUCCAGGACCUGAUCUCACCUCCAGGCUGCUUCACAGAACUGAUACUGUCUUACAAGAUUUUAUCCAAGCUUGAAAGCUUCAUAUUCCUUGCAUCAGUCUCAUAAACAUUUUCAUCCCUGAUUAGAAUUUUACUUUUCAAGAAGUAUCUCAAAACACUUCACAGACCCACAAGUGGCGUGUUUAUCACCUACUGCUGGGCUCAGUUACAUCAGCACAAACCCCACACCACUGCAAGGAACUGGGAUUGAAUUAAUCAGCAUUUACACUGACAAAGCUCAACCUUUUACACAAGACUAACUGUCAGGAGAUGCUCCCUCUCCCCACUAUAAUAUGCUGCACAUUAAGAAAAUGGAAACACCCAGUGGACUUCUUAUAGAGAAAU